rnacentral:rRNA from 1 species
GUGUCAGCAGCCGCGGUAAUACAGAGGUCUCAAGCGUUGUUCGGAUUCAUUGGGCGUAAAGGGUGCGCAGGCUGUGAGGCAAGUCGGGUGUGAAAUCCCGGGGCUCAACCCCGGAACUGCAUCCGAUACUGCCUUGCUGGAGGACUGGAGAGGGGACUGGAAUUCUCGGUGUAGCAGUGAAAUGCGUAGAUAUCGAGAGGAACACCGGUGGCGAAGGCGGGUCCCUAGACAGAUCCUGACGCUGAGGCACGAAGGCCAGGGGAGCAAACGGGAUUAGAAACCCCCGUAGUCC